CAUUUUUCCUCCAACGGACAAAUCACAGAGUCUACUUAUACUUGAUUCUAGUGAUGGAAAGAUAUGCACAAUUAUAGUUGAGCUAGCCCUAAAACUUUCCUUUGUUCUUGUGUUUCUUUUCUACAAUGUGGAGCAACACCAAUCACAGCCUUGCCGCAACACCUUGUCUCCAAUAAUAUCGAUCUACACCUCACAGUUGUUGCCGUAACAUUUUAGAGCCAAAUCUCAGGCAUUGUUUGCGUGCUGCUAUUGUUUUUUUUUUUUCCUGUGUCAAGAUUAAUUUUUGUAGAGUAGGAUUGUGCCAAGAGAAAAGAUGCAGAUAACUGUUCCGAAGUGCUAAGAAGGAUGAAGGAAAAUGUAGAAAAUAAUACAAUCGAAUCAAUCAUUUACCAAGUAAAAAAGGAGCUAGUAUUUCUAGGACCACUUUGGAGACAUUAUUGGGUAGUCAGUUAUCAAUGGUCUAACCAUGGGAGUGGAAUCAUCUGCCGCCAAGCAUAUGGAUACCAGAGUUGGAGUGUUCUUAGCCAAAAGCUUUUAAAAAGCUUUAUGUCUACCUUGGCUGGUCAAGACCCAAGACCCAUCUGUUACCUCAGUGGCUAAGGUUUUUCUCACAUUCUUCCUUCCUUGUUUGACCUGGGGUCAGCUAAUCACUCCUUCAACUUUAGUCUGGGUCUGUUAGUGUAUUUCGUUCUAUCAAGAAAAGCAUUAAAGCCUUGGAGUGGAGCAUCAUUGGCCUAAUGGUUUCAAGAUUGGCUUCCUUUACUAGCUGCAACAUGCUUGGUGCAUUGUCCGUGUACCUGAGAAUGGUGGUGGUUUGAAGUCUUCCAGCUUUUGUGUGGGCUACUAAGCAACCCACAAACCAACAUCGCAGCAAUGGGAAUUCACAUACAAACUAUCAUCUUAGUGUACGUUUUUCAUAAAAUUCAUUAAGCGUGGGCUUGUCUGUUGGGAGUGUGAUGUCUUGUAUUCCAUUGCUUACAUAAGUGGGCUGAUUCCGAAGGGCCGCCUUUAAGAGGCUAUAUGGGUAUUUCAUUAAAUCACUUCAUCCAACUUCUGUGUGGACUAUUAAUCAACCCACAAGCAGCAUGGUAGCAAUGGGCAAUCUUAUAAAACUACAAGCUUAAUGUACACCUUUCCAAAAACUCAUUAAGGAUGGAUUGUCUGUUGAGGGUAAAAUGUCUUGUAUUAUGUCACUUGCAUAACUGGGCUGAUUUUAAAGGGCUUUUAAGAGGCUAUAUAGGUAUUUCGAUAAAUUAUCAAUAUGGGGUUUCACUAUAUAUUUAUAGUGAGGGUUGUUUUCUGUACUCAAUCUUAGAGAGUUGAGAGGAUAAGCGGUUGUAACCCUAUUAUCCAUUGAUAGUGAAGCAGAUCUCAUUUCACCGUGGA